AAAUGAAAGAGGUUAAAAUAUUCACCAAAAAGGGGUUUUGUCUGCUGACAUCUCCAGCUGUUCUGAAAACGGAGUACGUAUCUUAAACGUGGAGCAUGACCUGCUGUGUAGCCUGAAAACGCAGGCUGAAAGACCACGUUUGUUCUCUUUUUUCAGGUUGGGGGCUAAAUUUGCUGCCUGCACAGCCAGCUGUGGUCACAAGGAAUCUGCACCAGUCUUAUACAAAUGCUCUGUGUGAAUGUAAGAAAGAUGUUCCCAGAAAGGCUGAGCAGUUGGAAAUACCUGAUGUAUCGUCUCCCAUCUGAAUGCACUUGUCAAAGGAGAAAAUGUGCUCCUUCGUCUUCUGGCAUUUCUCCAUGGCUUGAGUGGAUGUACCAAGAUGCAGUAUCAAGUGUCUUCACGAAAUUGCCCGUACUCUUUAGUGGCAAGCUUGGUGCAAAGAAACAAGCCAUCUAGCUGCUGCUGGGGUCUAAGCAGAAAGAGGGCACGUUUGAAGUGUGCUGCAUUUUGAGAGCAAACAUUGAGGCUGGUCAUCAGCAGUUUGGCAAUCAGUGCUGUGUAUGGACAUGAGGCUAGAAACUAUCCAUGUAGCUCAGUCACUGUGGUGUGGGAGCAAAAAGUGAUCAGCAUUUGUCACUUGAGAAUUUUUGGGAAACAAAGAUGGAAACAGCACAACAUGUAAUAAUUACCAAUAAUCGUUCUGGGAGCUAGUUUAGCCUCUCUUGAGGCUAGUUGGAGGAAAGCUUUGCUGCCUGUUUUGAGACAUGCUACUCAUCUCCUGAAAGUCUGUGUUGUCUCCGCACCUCUCCUACAGCUUCUGUAGGACAUGGGUACUUUAGCUGAAGGAUUCCCACUACUGUUACUACUUCAUAGUCAUUAAUUGAGGACACAGAACCAGGUAAGACCUAUUAAAAUAAACAGAAUGAGGCCGUUCAAAAGCACCAUCACUGUACUUGUUUCUGGUUUACUGUGACUGUGAGGAGGCUGAAUGGUGGCAGCCACUACUGCAGGAUGAAUGUUAAGUAAAGCUCUGCUGCAGGCCAAAUACCACUUUAAAGGAUGAAGCAAAGAAAUGGGAGGGAGUAACUCCUUUAUCAGCAUACCUCCCCAGCAGCCCGGGGCUGCAGCGGGCACCG